GCCAGGAUAGCUCAGUGGCAGAGCAACGGUUUCGUAAACCGUAGGUCGUGGGUUCAACUCCCAUUCCUGGCU
rnacentral:tRNA from 1 species